UACGUAGGGGGCAAGCGUUGUCCGGAUUUAUUGGGCGUAAAGCGCACGCAGGCGGUCUCUUAAGUUUCGAGUGACAGGGAGGGGCUUAACUCCUCCAGGCCUUGGAAAACUGGGAGACUUGAGGGCGAAAGAGGGACGCGGAAUUCCAGGUGGAGCGUGAAAUGCGUAGAGAUCUGGAAGAACACCGAAGCGAAGGCAGCGUCCUGGAUCGCACCUGACGCUCAU
rnacentral:rRNA from 1 species